UACGUAGGGCGCAAGCGUUGUCCGGAAUUAUUGGGCGUAAAGAGCUCGCAGGCGGCCUGUUGCGUCCGCUGUGAAAUCCCGGGGCUCAACCCCGGGCGUGCAGUGGAUACGGGCUGGCUGGAGGCAGGCAGGGGAGAACGGAAUUCCUGGUGUAGCGGUGAAAUGCGCAGAUAUCAGGAGGAACACCGGUGGCGAAGGCGGUUCUCUGGGCCUGUACUGACGCUGAGGAGCGAAAGCGUGGGGAGCGAACAGG
rnacentral:rRNA from 1 species